UACGUAGGGUCCGAGCGUGUCCGGAAUUACUGGGCGUAAAGAGCUCGUAGGCGGCUUGUUGCGUCGACUGUGAAAACCCGCGGCUUAACUGCGGGCUUGCGGUUGAUACGGGCGGGCUAGAGUUCGGUAGGGGAGACUGGAAUUCCGGGUGUAGCGGUGGAAUGCGUAGAGAUCCGGAAGAACACCGGUGGCGAAGGCGGUCUGCUGGGGUAAUGCUGACACUGAUGCGCGACAGCGUGGGGAGCAAACAGG
rnacentral:rRNA from 1 species